GAUGAACGCUGGCGGCGUGCCUAAUACACGCAAGUCGAGCGAACAGAUGAGGAGCUUGCUCCUCUGACGUUAGCGGCGGACGGGUGAGUAACACGUGGAUAACCUACCUAUAAGACUGGGAUAACUUCGGGAAACCGGAGCUAAUACCGGAUAAUAUAUUGAACCGCAUGGUUCAAUAGUGAAAGACGGUUUUGCUGUCACUUAUAGAUGGAUCCGCGCCGCAUUAGCUAGUUGGUAAGGUAACGGCUUACCAAGGCAACGAUGCGUAGCCGACCUGAGAGGGCGAUCGGCCACACUGGAACUGAGACACGGUCCAGACUCCUACGGGAGGCAGCAGUAGGGAAUCUUCCGCAAUGGGCGAAAGCCUGACGGAGCAACGCCGCGUGAGUGAUGAAGGUCUUCGGAUCGUAAAACUCUGUUAUUAGGGAAGAACAAAUGUGUAAGUAACUAUGCACGUCUUGACGGUACCUAAUCAGAAAGCCACGGCUAACUACGUG
rnacentral:rRNA from 1 species